GACGAACGCUGGCGGCGUGCCUAAUACAUGCAAGUGGAACGCACGAGGUACACCGUAGUUUACUACACCGUACUUUGUGAGUCGCGAACGGGUGAGUAACGCGUAGGUAACCUACCUUUUAGCGGGGGAUAACUAUUGGAAACGAUAGCUAAUACCGCAUAAGAUAUCUUACUGCAUGGUAAGAUAUUAAAAGAUGCAAUUGCAUCACUAAGAGAUGGACCUGCGUUGUAUUAGCUAGUAGGUGAGGUAACGGCUCACCUAGGCAACGAUACAUAGCCGACCUGAGAGGGUGAUCGGCCACACUGGGACUGAGACACGGCCCAGACUCCUACGGGAGGCAGCAGUAGGGAAUCUUCGGCAAUGGGGGGAACCCUGACCGAGCAACGCCGCGUGAGUGAAGAAGGUUUUCGGAUCGUAAAGCUCUGUUGUAAGAGAAGAACGAGUGUGAGAGUGGAAAGUUCACACUGUGACG
rnacentral:rRNA from 1 species